rnacentral:rRNA from 1 species
UACAGAGGGUGCGAGCGUUGUCCGGAAUCACUGGGCGUAAAGGGCGCGUAGGCGGUCUGCUAAGCGUGCGGUGAAAGCCCGGGGCUCAACCCCGGGUCGGCCGUGCGAACUGGUGGACUGGAGCUUGUCAGAGGCAGGCGGAAUUCCGGGUGUAGCGGUGGAAUGCGUAGAGAUCCGGAGGAACACCAAAGGCGAAGGCAGUGUCCUGGGGAGUACCUGACGCUCAGGUGCGAAAGCCAGGGGAGCGAACGGG